rnacentral:rRNA from 1 species
GAUGAACGCUGGCGGCGUGCUUAACACAUGCAAGUCGAACGAGAAGUGGAGACGGAAACCUUCGGGCGGAAGACUUUAUUUCGAGUGGCGGACGGGUGAGUAACGCGUGGGUAACCUGCCUCAUACAGGGGGAUAACAGUUGGAAACGACUGUUAAUACCGCAUAAGACCACAGCACCGCAUGGUGCGGGGGUAAAAACUCCGGUAGUAUGAGAUGGACCCGCGUUCGAUUAGCCAGUUGGCGGGGUAACGGCCCACCAAAGCGACGAUCGAUAGCCGAUCUGAGAGGAUGACCGGCCACAUUGGGACUGAGACACGGCCCAAACUCCUACGGGAGGCAGCAGUGGGGAAUAUUGCACAAUGGGGGAAACCCUGAUGCAGCGACGCCGCGUGAGUGAAGAAGUAUUUCGGUAUGUAAAGCUCUAUCAGCAGGGAAGAAAAUGACGGUACCUGAGUAAGAAGCCCCGGCUAACUACGUG